rnacentral:miRNA from 1 species
UAAGAACAGGAUAUGAUAAGG